rnacentral:tRNA from 1 species
GCGGAUAUGGCGUAAUUGGUAGCCGCGCAAGACUUAGGAUCUUGUUCCGAGAGGAGUGGGGGUUCGAGCCCCCCUAUCCGCA